GCCCACUACUAUCAUCCACGUACCACGAGGAAGAUGAGGGAGAGAAAUUAUCCUACCAUUAAAGAGACUGUGCAAAGAAUGUUGAGAACAUCACCACUCUACAGGAAUACACAGUCCAGUAAUGUGUGUCAGAAGUUCAGUAGUGAACGACAGGUAGUACUGACGCAUUUACGGAGAUGGUACAUGAGGGCCUUGUCUGCGUGCCCAAGAGAAGAUUCCACAGAGUUCAAGCUGAGCAGGCUGCAGCAGGUUUGGAUGAAUCCUCCUCUGAAGAGGAAACAU